rnacentral:rRNA from 5 species
CCCAGACAGCCAGGAUGUUGGCUUAGAAGCAGCCAUCAUUUAAAGAAAGCGUAAUAGCUCACUGGUCGAGUCGGCCUGCGCGGAAGAUGUAACGGGGCUAAACCAUGCACCGAAGCUGCGGCAGCGAACGUAUCACCCAAGACAACUUUACGGAGUUGACGAUUGACGGAGCGAAGCGACGUCAAAGCGUUCAUUAAAGUCGAGUUGGCUUAGGGAUACGUUCGUUGGGUAGGGGAGCGUUCUGUAAGCCUGUGAAGGUGUGUCGUGAGGCAUGCUGGAGGUAUCAGAAGUGCGAAUGCUGACAUAAGUAACGAUAAAGCGGGUGAAAAGCCCGCUCGCCGGAAGACCAAGGGUUCCUGUCCAACGUUAAUCGGGGCAGGGUGAGUCGACCCCUAAGGC